rnacentral:rRNA from 1 species
AUUGAACGCUGGCGGCAGGCCUAACACAUGCAAGUCGAGCGGAUGAAGGGAGCUUGCUCCUGGAUUCAGCGGCGGACGGGUGAGUAAUGCCUAGGAAUCUGCCUGGUAGUGGGGGAUAACGUCCGGAAACGGGCGCUAAUACCGCAUACGUCCUGAGGGAGAAAGUGGGGGAUCUUCGGACCUCACGCUAUCAGAUGAGCCUAGGUCGGAUUAGCUAGUUGGUGGGGUAAAGGCCUACCAAGGCGACGAUCCGUAACUGGUCUGAGAGGAUGGUCAGUCACACUGGAACUGAGACACGGUCCAGACUCCUACGGGAGGCAGCAGUGGGGAAUAUUGGACAAUGGGCGAAAGCCUGAUCCAGCCAUGCCGCGUGUGUGAAGAAGGUCUUCGGAUUGUAAAGCACUUUAAGUUGGGAGGAAGGGCAGUAAGUUAAUACCUUGCCGUUUUGACGUUACCAACAGAAUAAGCACCGGCUAACUUCGUG